CACGUAGGGUGCGAGCGUUGUCCGGAAUUAUUGGGCGUAAAGAGCUCGUAGGCGGUCUGUUGCGUCCGCUGUGAAAACUCGAGGCUCAACCUCGAGACGUCGGCGGAAACCAUCUGGCUAGAGUCCGGAAGAGGAGAGUGGAAUUCCUGGUGUAGCGGUGAAAUGCGCAGAUAUCAGGAGGAACACCGGUGGCGAAGGCGGGUCUCUGGGCCGAUGACUGACGCUGAGGAGCGAAAGCGUGGGGAGCGAACAGG
rnacentral:rRNA from 1 species